AUGCUGGAAGAAAUUACCAUCGUUAAAAAAACUACUGAUAAAGAGAAUAUGCAUAUAGGGAUAAUUCUCACAGAGUUUUCCACCAAGCAAGGCCAAGACGAACCUUUCUUGAAGACCGUCCUAUGCACCCAAAACAACAUUCUCCAAGUACUGAAUUGUGUCGUGCAUGUGAUCUUCACCAAAUCCCUUAAACAAGGCAUUAUGUGUACAAUGGUCUGGAUGAAUACCUUUCUGAUGCAUUUCACAGUACAGCCUUACAGCCUCCACCCAGUUACCUUCUUUACAGUUCCCGUCUAUCAACAAAGUGUAUGUGUAUUUGUUUGGCACCAAUCCUCUCUCCAGCAUCUCAUGAAAAUAUUGAUAAGCCAAUUCAGUUCUCCCUAUCCGGCAUAG
rnacentral:rRNA from 1 species